rnacentral:rRNA from 1 species
UAAUCGUAGGUCAGCAUACUACGGUGAAUACGUUCCCGGGCCUUGUACACACCGCCCGUCAAACCAUGAGAGUUGGCAACACCCGAAGUCGGUAGUCUAACCGCAAGGAGGACGCCGCCGAAGGUGGGGUUGAUGAGUUAGGGUUAAGUCGUAACAAGGUAAC